CAGGUCACUAGCAGAGCCCUCCUUCCCUGCUCUGGCUCCCGCAGUUGGAGCAGAUGGAAAGGCCACUGACCCCUUGUGUGACUGAGGGACUGAGGCUUCAGGCUUUCUGAGGGCUCUGAGCGCAAGGCCCAGGACCAGGUCCUCCUUUCCAUCCAGUGGAGCUUGAUACAUAUAAUAUUUGCCAAGAAGCUGUCAGACCAGAAUUGGAUACUGCCCACCUGAAGCUGGUAUGUUCUCUGUUCUCAGACAGCCCGAAUUCUGUAUGUUCCUCCCAUCUGAAAAAUGCCUAAGAACAUUUUAAAUGCUGUUUAAAUCUGUGCAU
rnacentral:lncRNA from 1 species